AGUACACACCAUAUAUACAAGAAAAUAAAAAAAUAAAAGUUUUGGGCAAACUACAUCCCCCAUGAUGCAGCGCGGUGCUGUGCGCGUGUGCGCGCCUGUGGAAUGAAGAGCGCACUUGUUGAGUUUGGGAACUUCCAGAGGCUUGAACUUCUCGGUUUGGACGCAGCGGAGCUCUCUCAUCAACAUUAUCAUCAGGCCAUAUGGAUUCCUGCUGGCUUUUUAUUUCCAGGACUAUGUUUUUCUCUGUCGGAGUGAAUGUUGAUUGUCUCGAGUGUUUUACGCGUUAGACGCGCACCGUUACAGCGCGCAGGAGGAAUGCAUAACAUUACUGCGAGGAUGAAGAAGACGUGCCUUUAAUCGAUUUAUAGCUAUAGGAGAGUUCAUGUUUGGUGGAGAGAUAUGGGAUGCUUUACAGAAGGACGAUUUAUGGACUAUCAUUGGACUUUAAAUGAGACUGGAGAAUGGAGAACAUCGCUGCUCUGCCAAGAUGCAUCAACCACCCAACUCCGAUGGGAAACCACGGCAUGCUGUCAUCUGUUCAGACGGAGUGACAUUUGUCUGCAUGGUUUCUGCCAGGAAUCUGCACAAGCCAGUUCUCACCCUCGGACGGGACGCCCACGGACCCUUCGCAGACUUUCUGAUGAUUACUACAAGUCAAACAUUUUCAAAAUCGUAAAACACUUAGCCUGAGGAGAACUAACCAGACUGAAGCCGAUGAUCAGCGCCGCCGGAGGGAAGAGACGCACUCAGAACCAGACUGUCUUUGUUUCGCUCUGACAAACAAUGUGGUGUUCAAGCAUGGACGAGAUAAUCAAGGAGGCGCUUUGACGUUGGCUAGCCACGGGUUGGAGAGGCUGUGGAUGAGAAAAUCGUAAGGGAGGACCACCCAUUGGGCUCGGAGGAGAGAGAUUCCCUACACGCCGUCUCUUUGGAAUAUUAAUGGGCUUCUCCUGGGAAAACUGCCCACAGAAUAGGCCACUCCAUCGCUGUCUCUGUUUCCGCUCAGCUGUCCUGAGGGUACGUGAGGGUGUUCGGUGCAAUCCGGCCUGGAGAAACCUCAAGUACACCUCAAACUUUUGUUUUGAUGUUUCAUUAAGGACUCUUGAAAAUUGAGCAUUUCUUUUUUCCCCCUAGAAUAUAUUACAGCUUUUAUUACACAAUAAAAAGCACAGGAACGGCUACAUUUAUGAUGUCAAAUUCCUCAGUCUCAAUUUUAUAACCGCAAUCAAUAAGGAGACAUAUUGAUUGAAAUGAGGGGGCCAUUAGCACGUGAGGGAUUGGGGAAUGAUGACAGUGAUGACUGGGGAGGUGACAACGAUGCCGAUCACCAGUGGUUGUCAUCACUGGAGCUGCACUCGAUGGCAGAAGCCCAGACGUCUCAUCUGUUUGGCCGUUAUGAGAGUGACCGUCCUAAUGGCUUCCACAGAUGGCAGAGCUCGCUGAAGUCAUUGCACUUUUCUUUCAAUCCCUUUUGCAUUCUUUAUCUGUAUUUGAGUCUCUGUUACUUGCUUUCAGUCAUUCCACUAUUUCCACUAUUUGAGUUUUCGGCAUAUUUAUGUGAAGAAUCCAGUUUUUUUACAAGCCUGCCAAGCUGUGAAUGAAAUAAGAUGAAUUUGAAAUGGUAGGGAGGUCAAUAACAAAUUGUGUUAGAAUGCUAGAAUGCUUGUGUUAGAAUUUUAUUUUGAAUCCAAAAUAAAAGUCUGUGUUUACAUAAUAUAUGAGUGUGUACUGUGUAUAUUAUGUGUAUAUAAAUAA